rnacentral:rRNA from 1 species
UAAUACCGGAUAACAACAGAUGAUGCCUAUCAACUGUUUAAAAGAAUAGGUUCUGCUAUCACUCUUGGAUGGACCUCGCGGUGCAUUAGCUAGUUGGUAGGGUAACGGCCUACCAAGGCGAUGAUGCAUAGCCGAGUUGAGAGACUGAUCGGCCACAUUGGGACUGAGACACGGCCCAAACUCCUACGGGAGGCAGCAGC